rnacentral:rRNA from 1 species
AACGCUAGCUACAGGCUUAACACAUGCAAGUCGAGGGGAAACGAUAUUGGAAGCUUGCUUCCGAUAGGCGUCGACCGGCGCACGGGUGAGUAACGCGUAUCCAACCUGCCCACCACUUGGGGAUAACCUUGCGAAAGUAAGACUAAUACCCAAUGACGUCUCUAGAAGACAUCUGAAAGAGAUUAAAGAUUUAUCGGUGAUGGAUGGGGAUGCGUCUGAUUAGCUUGUUGGCGGGGUAACGGCCCACCAAGGCGACGAUCAGUAGGGGUUCUGAGAGGAAGGUCCCCCACAUUGGAACUGAGACACGGUCCAAACUCCUACGGGAGGCAGCAGUGAGGAAUAUUGGUCAAUGGACGAGAGUCUGAACCAGCCAAGUAGCGUGCAGGAUGACGGCCCUAUGGGUUGUAAACUGCUUUUAUAAGGGAAUAAAGUGAGUCUCGUGAGACUUUUUGCAUGUACCUUAUGAAUAAGGACCGGCUAAUUCCGUGCCAGCAGCCGCGGUAAUACGGAAGGUCCGGGCGUUAUCCGGAUUUAUUGGGUUUAAAGGGAGCGUAGGCCGGAGAUUAAGCGUGUUGUGAAAUGUAGACGCUCAACGUCUGCACUGCAGCGCGAACUGGUUUCCUUGAGUACGCACAAAGUGGGCGGAAUUCGUGGUGUAGCGGUGAAAUGCUUAGAUAUCACGAAGAACUCCGAUUG